UCAUAUUUGUUGGCUUUGAUUUUGGUUAUUCCAGAUCUUGUCUGUUUAUUUUGUUGUGAAGAUGUCUUGCUGCGGUGGAAAGUGUGGGUGUGGAGGCAACUGCAAUGGCUGUGCAGGGUGCAAGGCCUUCCCAGAGAAGGCUGUAGAGGGCUCAACUGCUUCUGAUAUGCUGUAUAACGAGGAAAUGAGUGUGGCAGGGGAGAAUGGGUGCAAAUGUGCAGGUGGGUGCAAGUGUGGAGGAACCUGCACUGGAAAUCCUUGCAAUUGCAAAUGAUUUACCAAUUAAUAUAUUAACAUUAUUAUCAUUUUCUUUUUAAGUGUGUAGUAUCAGCCUUGGUAUGUUAUACCAAGGUUUGAAUAUUAUAAUGUAAGAGAAAGUCAGUCAUGAUGCCACUACAUGACUGUGCAUUCUAGUUUUAUUAAUAUAUAACUAAAGUUUAAUCCA